UGAGGAGUCUUCCUAUGAUGUUGCGACCU
rnacentral:piRNA from 1 species